AAUGAACGCUGGCGGCGUGGAUUACGCAUGCAAGUCGAGCGAGAACCCCGCAAGGGGGGGCAGCGGCGAAAGGGACGGUAAUGUGUAGAUUAUCUGCCCUCAGGUCCGACAUAUCUGCGGGAAACUGCAGGUAAUACCGGAUAACAUUACCGCAUCAAACGUGUGAUUCCGCCUGAGGAUGAGUCUGCAUCCUAUUAGUUAGGUGGUGGGAUAUUGGCCUACCAAGGCAUUGAUGGGUAGCAGGUGUGAGAGCACGACCUGCAUCAGGGGGACUGAGACACUGCCCAGACAACUACGGGUGGCUGCAGGCGAGAAUCGUCGGCAAUGGGAGCAAGCCUGCAGGCGCGACGCGGCGUGUGGGAUGAAGGCCGUCGGGUUGUAAACCACUGUCAGAGGGGAUGAGAUGCAGGUGGGUUCUCCCAUGUGUUGGCGAUAGCCUAAGAGGAAGGACGGGCUAAGUUCGUG
rnacentral:rRNA from 1 species